rnacentral:rRNA from 1 species
CAGCCGCCGCGGUAACACCGAGGGUGCGAGCGUUAAUCGGAUUUACUGGGCGUAAAGCGUGCGUAGGCGGCUUUUUAAGUCGGAUGUGAAAUCCCUGAGCUUAACUUAGGAAUUGCAUUCGAUACUGGGAAGCUAGAGUAUGGGAGAGGAUGGUAGAAUUCCAGGUGUAGCGGUGAAAUGCGUAGAGAUCUGGAGGAAUACCGAUGGCGAAGGCAGCCAUCUGGCCUAAUACUGACGCUGAGGUACGAAAGCAUGGGGAGCAAACAGGAUUAGAUACCCGUGUAGUCCCUGUCUCUUAUAA